rnacentral:rRNA from 1 species
UAGGAUCUUCCACAAUGGACGAAAGUCUGAUGGAGCAACGCCGCGUGAGUGAAGAAGGUUUUCGGAUCGUAAAGCUCUGUUGUUGGUGAAGAAGGAUAGAGGCAGUAACUGGUCUUUAUUUGACGGUAAUCAACCAGAAAGUCACGGCUAACUACGUGCCAG